GCGGGCGUGGCGGAAUUGGUGGACGCAGCGGAUUCAAAAUCCGCCGUCCUUACGGAUAUGUCGGUUCGAGUCCGACCGUCCGCACCA
rnacentral:tRNA from 1 species